UAUAAAUGACACUGUGUCUCUUGACAACUGAAACCAUAAGAUGAGGUCAGUGUGGCCUUGACCUUUUGACUUUAACACAAAUACACAGUUAGACAAUCCGAAAACAUACAGUUAUGCCAAAAUAUAUUUGGUUUCACAUUCUAGAUGGCAUAAGCAGAGACAUCAACUCAGGAAAAAUAUUUCUGUAGAAAAGAAAGCCCUGUACGUGUGUACGUAUGUAUACAUACACACGUACAAACGCACUAUUGAGACGUUUUGUUUUUUAUCAUAUAUUCUCAGGAAGGACUGAUGCAUUUACUGAGACGGGACGUGAGGGCCUACUCUGCAUGCUCAGAGUUCAAGCCCAGCAGGCUGCAGUGGGCCUGACAUAUUCCGGAACAGCAGCACAGUCUUUGGAUGACUCCUCUGAAGAUGAAAACAUGGCGAGUUCUUCUCAAGAGAAGCAGUACAGGUGUGCCUCAGCUCCACGGUCCCUCCUGCAGCCUCCGCUCCUGAUGCUAACCUCAUGUCUCCAUCACACCAAGCAGCAGACCUGGAUUGACAGACCUUUCUCCAGAGCUGCCCCCUCCCUCUGAAACCCCCCUCUCCAAAACACUAUUUGUGGCGUUUUUAAAGUCUUAUUUGCAUGAGAAUUGUUGAUCAUAACAUUUCCAGCAGAUGCCUUAAUGUAAUGUUUGUGCACAAUAAAUGACAUUGUUCAUAA